rnacentral:rRNA from 1 species
ACGCACGCUGGCGGCGUGCUUAACACAUGCAAGUCGAACGAAGAGCGAUGGAAGCUUGCUUCUAUCAAUCUUAGUGGCGAACGGGUGAGUAACGCGUAAUCAACCUGCCCUUCAGAGGGGGACAACAGUUGGAAACGACUGCUAAUACCGCAUACGAUCUAAUCUCGGCAUCGAGGAUAGAUGAAAGGUGGCCUCUACAUGUAAGCUAUCACUGAAGGAGGGGAUUGCGUCUGAUUAGCUAGUUGGAGGGGUAACGGCCCACCAAGGCGAUGAUCAGUAGCCGGUCUGAGAGGAUGCACGGCCACAUUGGGACUGAGACACGGCCCAGACUCCUACGGGAGGCAGCAGUGGGGAAUCUUCCGCAAUGGACGAAAGUCUGACGGAGCAACGCCGCGUGAGCGAUGACGGCCUUCGGGUUGUAAAGCUCUGUUAAUCGGGACGAAAGGCCUUCUUGCGAAUAGUGAGAAGGAUUGACGGUACCGGAAUAGAAAGCCACGGCUAACUACGUG